ACUAAUUUGGCAGAAAAUAUUGUAUCAAAUUUAGAAUUUGAAUAUGGGAAACCAAUUAGUA
rnacentral:tRNA from 1 species